UGACCCAUAGUAUAAGGGUAGUACAACAGAUUUUGGUUCUGUAUGUCUAGGUUCGAAUCCUAGUGGGUCAACUA
rnacentral:tRNA from 1 species